rnacentral:rRNA from 1 species
UACAGAGAGUGCAAGCGUUAAUCGGAAUUACUGGGCGUAAAGCGCACGUAGGUGGAUAUUUAAGUCGAAUGUGAAAGCCCCGGGCUUAACCUGGGAAUUGCAUCCGAUACUGAGUGUCUAGAGUAUGGUAGAGGGAAGUGGAAUUUCCGGUGUAGCGGUGAAAUGCGUAGAUAUCGGAAAGAACACCAGUGGCGAAGGCGGCUUCCUGGACCAAUACUGACACUGAUGAGCGAAAGCCAGGGGAGCAAACGGG